rnacentral:rRNA from 1 species
ACGACCAUACUUACCAGAAAAUACGGGAUCCCGUCCGCUCUCCCAUAGUCAAGCUGGUAAGGGGCGGAUUAGUAGUUGGGUCGGUGACGACCAGCGAAUCCCCGCUGUUGUAUGUU